rnacentral:rRNA from 1 species
AACGUAGGUGGCGAGCGUUAUCCGGAUUUACUGGGCGUAAAGCGCGUUCAGGCGGCCUGGCAAGUCGGGCAUGAAAUCUCUCGGCUCAACCGGGAGAGGCUGUCCGAUACUUCCAGGCUUGAGGGCAGUAGAGGAGGGUGGAAUUCCGGGUGUAGUGGUGAAAUGCGUAGAUAUCCGGAGGAACACCAGUGGCGAAAGCGGCCCUCUGGGCUGCUCCUGACGCUCAAACGCGAAAGCUAGGGGAGCGAAC